rnacentral:rRNA from 1 species
UGGCGAACGGGUGAGUAACGCGUGAGAAUUUGCCUUUAGGAAGAGGAUAACAGUUGGAAACAAUUGCUAAAACUCUAUAUGCCCUUACGGGUGAAAAAAGUAAUUUGCCUAAAGAGAAGCUCGCGUCUGAUUAGCUAGUUGGUGGGGUAAAGGCCUACCAAGGCGACGAUCAGUAGCUGGUCUGAGAGGACGAUCAGCCACACUGGAACUGAGACACGGUCCAGACUCCUACGGGAGGCAGCAGUGAGGAAUUUUCUGCAAUGGGCGAAAGCCUGACAGAGCAAUACCGCGUGAGGGAUGAAGGCCUACGGGUUGUAAACCUCUUUUCUCAAGGAGGAAGAUCUGACGUUACUUGAGGAAUAAGCAUCGGCUAACCCUGUGCCAGCAGCCGCGGUAAUACAGGGGAUGCAAGUGUUAUCCGGAAUUAUUGGGCGUAAAGCGUCUGCAGGUUGAUAUUUAAGUCUUUUGUUAAACCUUCGGGCUCAACCCGGAAUCUGCAAAGGAAAC